CCAGACUCCUACGGGAGGCAGCAGUGGGGAAUAUUGCGCAAUGGGGGAAACCCUGACGCAGCAACGCCGCGUGAGUGAAGAAGUAUCUCGGUAUGUAAAGCUCUAUCAGCGGGGAAGAAGGAAGACGGUACCCGACUAAGAAGCCCCGGCUAACUACGUGCCAGCAGCCGCGGUAAUACGUAGGGGGCGAGCGUUAUCCGGAUUUACUGGGUGUAAAGGGAGCGUAGACGGUUCUGCAAGUCUGAAGUGAAAGCCCGUGGCUUAACCGCGGAACGGCUUUGGAAACUGUGGAACUGGAGUGCUGGAGAGGCAAGUGGAAUUCCUAGUGUAGCGGUGAAAUGCGUAGAUAUUAGGAGGAACACCAGUGGCGAAGGCGGCUUACUGGACUGUAACUGACGUUGAGGCUCGAAAGCGUGGGGAGCAAACAGGAUUAGAUACCCCUGUA
rnacentral:rRNA from 1 species